rnacentral:lncRNA from 1 species
GUGGAAGUUUCUCUGGCAAGAGGAAAAAUACCUGUCCCAUAUCAGUGCUCACCUUUGCUGAAUGAGGCAGAUGUGGUGAUAGAAGGUGUGCAUAAGAAGAGGAGAGGCACAGAAUCCUUCUGAGUUGGUGCAGUAUCGACCACCGAGCAGAAUGGAAGUCAGAGAGAAAUUCCAAAGUGUUUGGAAAAAUCAUUAUAAUGUAUUGUCUGUAUCACUUUAUUCCUUAAUUAUGGUUGUGGUAGAGGAAAUAAUGGAGCUGGAAUUUAAAUGUCCUCAGGAAAAGUCAUUAAGGGUAUGGUAUGUUGCUUCUUACUUUUCCUGUCCAGCCUUCAUUACAUUUGUCCUGAGCUUGACCUCCCACCCCGCCUGCAUUCCCUGGGCUCGCUGUGUUGGGAAGUGCUCGUGCUACCGCAAGACUCAGAUCAUUUUUAGGGCAUUUUUACCUCCUGUGAUUUGGUGUGUGAUCCUCCUGUGCGAUGGCAGAUACAUCGACUGUGUGGUUUCAGAAAAUGAAGGAAACAACAUCCAAGGCAGAGCAGCUGAAUUACCCAGUGAGUUCUACACCAAAUCUCAGGUGUCAGGGCUGUUCAUUCUCACUGCUGUUGUCACUCUCUGUGGCCUGUGCCACGUGUUCCCCUGCUGGUUCUGCUGUAAAAAUGAAGAAGGACAUUGGAGAGAGGAGCUGCAGAGCCGAUUAGAGGAAGGAGCCAGGAAUCACAUUGAAGAAUUGAAGAACGAGGGUGUAGAGCAGAUCAUGGAAGAGAGAGUGAAACCUCUUCUGCAGCCUGCUAAUGCCAAUUUCUGGGAAAACAUAGAUUUAAGAAGCAUAGGAAAAGAAAUAAAGAAAGUGGUAGAGUCUGCUCUUAGAAAUAAGCCAGCAGAGAGACAGCCAGCAGGGCAACAGGGUUUGCCUCUCACCCCUCUGGUUCGGGGACCCCUUUCCUAGAAUUAAGGGUCCCCCUCAGCUCCCCUUAACUUAGCGGGCCCCAUCAUCCCUUAGUGCCUCUUCUCCAUCACAGACCCCCCCAUCCUGCAGGGAUUGACCACAGCACAAGCGGCUCCAGGAAUUAACUCUGCGCUCUGAGGAGGUGGCAGCAGCUAUGGCCAAAAAGCCAGAGCAGGUGCUGACGUGGCAACACCAGGAUGCUGGACCUGCCCACCCUGGGCUUGCUGGGGAAAGCUCCCGCUGUUCUCCCAGCUCAGCUCUCCUGGCCUCCAAAGCAGGUCUGGCUCUUACACUGCUGUCAGAAGAGUAAGUUGGGUUUCUCCUCCUCUUCUCAGCUCCAGCUUAGAAGCCAGCAG